GAACGUACGCUGGCGGCACGCCUAACACAUGCAAGUCGAACGAAGUAGCAAUACUUAGUGGCAGACGGGUGAGUAACAUGUAGGUAUCUGCCCUUUGGCCUGGAAUAACACGAGGAAACUUGUGCUAAUACCGGAUAAGUCUUUACAGAGAAAGCUUUAUGCACCAUUGGAUGAGCCUGCACUUGAUUAGUUUGUUGGUGGGGUAAUGGCCUACCAAGACUGUGAUCAAUAGCUGAUUUGAGAGGAUGAUCAGCCACAUUGGGACUGAGACACGGCCCAAACUCCUACGGGAGGCAGCAGUGGGGAAUCUUGCACAAUGGAGGAAACUCUGAUGCAGCGAUGCCGCGUGAGUGAAGAAGGCCUUUGGGUUGUAAAGCUCUUUCGUCGGGGAAGAAAAUGACUGUACCCGAAUAAGAAGGUCCGGCUAACUUCGUGCCAGCAGCCGCGGUAAUACGAAGGGACCUAGCGUAGUUCGGAAUUACUGGGCUUAAAGAGUUCGUAGGUGGUUGAAAAGGUUAGUGGUGAAAUCCCAGAGCUUAACUCUGGAACUGCCAUUAAAACUUUUUAGCUAGAGUAUGAUAGAGGAAAGCAGAAUUUCUAGUGUAGAGGUGAAAUUCGUAGAUAUUAGAAAGAAUACCAAUUGCGAAGGCAGCUUUCUGGAUCAUUACUGACACUGAGGAACGAAAGCAUGGGUAGCGAAGAGGAUUAGAUACCCUCGUAGUCCAUGCCGUAAACGAUGUGUGUUAGACGUUGGAAAUUUAUUUUCAGUGUCGCAGCGAAAGCGAUAAACACACCGCCUGGGGAGUACGACCGCAAGGUUAAAACUCAAAUGAAUUGACGGGGACCCGCACAAGUAGUGGAGCAUGUGGUUUAAUUCGAAGAUACGCGCAGAACCUUACCAACACUUGACAUGUUCGUCGCGACUCUAAGAGAUUAGAGUUUUCGGUUCGGCCGGACGAAACACAGGUGCUGCAUGGCUGUCGUCAGCUCGUGUCGUGAGAUGUUGGGUUAAGUCCCGCAACGAGCGCAACCCUCACUUUUAGUUGCCAUCAUUAAGUUGGGCACUCUGAAAGAACUGCCAGUGAUAAGCUGGAGGAAGGUGGGGAUGACGUCAAGUCCUCAUGGCCCUUACGUGUUGGGCUACACACGUGCUACAAUGGUAUCUACAACAGGAAGCAAGACUGCGAAGUUAAGCAAAUCCCUAAAAGAUACCUCAGUUCGGAUUGCACUCUGCAACUCGAGUGCAUGAAGCUGGAAUUACUAGUAAUCGUGGAUCAGCGUGCCACGGUGAAUGCGUUCCCGGGUCUUGUACUCACCGC
rnacentral:rRNA from 1 species